UGUUAGCUCAGGGCUAAUUUUCCUCAAAAAAAAAUAAAAGAAAGAAAAAAGAAAACUAUUAUAUCUGCACUGUUUAGCACACAGUGUGUUAUAGCCCCACGUUGGGGAUCUAUUUAUUAAAAUCUCGGUAUGAUUCAGUUUAUUCAUUUAGGUCGUGCAUACUGCUUGUUGGGGUUAUUUCUAGGUGUUUUAUAGUUUUGUUUCUGUCACUAUUGGGAAUGGAUUCGCGUCCCACCAUGUCUUUUUUUCUGCCGUUUUGUGUAGAAUUAGCUUGCGGCCAUCACUUCAGCAACAGUUUUUCAUUUGGUUCUUCAGGGCUUUCUAACUGCUUACUCUGGUCACCUGAAAAUGACAACUCUUCUGUCUUUCUUCAACAACUACACCUUGUGUUUCCAUUUAGUAUGUUUUGGGUUGGUCAGAACUUCCAGGACAACAUUAAAUAAUCAGUAAUUUUGGGCGUCUUUCCACUGUUGCGGACUUUAAUGGGAAUGCUGCUUGUUUUCCUAUUAAGUACCAUGUUGAAUAUUCUUUCUUACUACUUUUGAGCGUCACCGCCGGUGGCUAAACAAGGGAGCCCAAGCAGUUUCCACUUUCGGGAUUUGUUGUCGUGUGUGUGCGCGUCCAUGCACCAGCAUGACACAACACAUUUCUGUGGGGGUUUUAUGAUCGCAGACUCUCUGUAGAGCUCAACAUUGUCCGGUAGCCUUAAUAUUAUUAGUUAUAUUUAUUUACAUUCUCCAUAUCAUUAUUUCUGGCUUGUCUAAUUAAACUAGAAAAAGUGGACAAAUCUGGGUUAAAAUCACACAAAUUUUAUAGUCUUAGUUUCUCACUUUUCUAAGCAUUUUUGCUUUGUCGCUUGAUAUUAGAUUAAUUGAUGCAUAAAGGGAUUAAUUACCUCUGUAGCUUUAUUACGCAUCCUCCAGCUUAUAAACCCAAAUAAUAUAAAAACAAUUCCCCCUCAUUCUCCCUCUUUAAUUGCUUUUGCCUUGAAGCCUCUUUGCCAGGAACUAACAUUGUCUCUCCUAUUUUUAAUUUCAUUUUACUUAGGAACUCUUUGCUCUUCCUUUGAUUUUUAAGGUAAAUACUUCUGUUUUAGGUGUGUCCCUUGGAGGCGGCAGAUACUGGGGUUUCAUUUUCACUCCGGUCCGAGAAUCUUUGUUUCCUAACGGUGAGGUUUAACUACUUACGUUUAUUGUCAGAUAGAAUCGAUGGUUUGUUAACGUCUGUCCUUCUGUUCCACUCGAUUUAUUUUCUUUUUGAUUUUUUGCUGUUUCUUUUGCUUUGGGGGUUUGCAUACAUGGAAUGUUGUAUGUUUUUCAUUUCCUUAGUAAUCUUGAAGGUGUGUAUUCUCUUUUUGACUUAACUUUAUAUUUCCAAAAGCCAGACUUUGGUUUAUAUUUUUCUAAUGGUCAGAGUCAACAAUUGAAUAGAAUCUUAGAAUCUCUUCCGUGUGAGGUGAGGCAUUUAGUGAAUUUCCACCUCCCUCCCACCUGAUUUUGUAGAGGAUCUUUCUCCCCCUUCCUGGAGCGCUGGCGAGCUGGUGGGAGUCUCUCGUUGACCUUUGCUGGGAAUCCGGGAAGCUCGGCUCAGCCUGUAAGUGUCACUCUGUUCCCUCUUCUCGUUCCUCAGGCAGAAAGUAUCAUAUUCUUUUCCUGUUCUGUCUUUGAUUGUUGCUUUCUGUCCAGUUCUGUUUUCUCUGGAAACCCCUUGGUGAUCGCCGAGUUGGGCCUUCAGUUUCGGGGUAGGCAUCACCUCUGUCACAAGCUUUGCACUUUGUAAUUUGCGUCUGGGAAAGUUAUUGACAGUACGAUUUUGAAUCCCUGGAUCCAUCUUCACAGUGUCAAUUGCACUGCGAAUGCUCUCAGUCACCGCCUUCUCUGGUCCAUCUUAUCUAACACUUUAUCCUCUAGAGUUUAUUUCCUCUUGUACAUAUUCUUUCUGCUCUUGUUUUAGAGAAUAGAAAUUUCCCUGUCUUCCUGUUUCUGUACUUUGUGGCUUUCAGAGGCUUUCUUCCUCCAAGUCUGCCUGUGAUCUUGGUCAUCAGCAUUUAGCACUUUCUGUUUUUGUGUGUUCUUUUUAUUUAUCCACCUUCACAUGGAAAGAGCAUUAUCUGGACCUGUUCUUUCUUACCUAUGAGGUGCGUGGAUUGCUCCUGCCCUACUUGCUCUCCAGCUGGGUUCUGAGGAAGUCCUCUUCCUGGAGCUGUAACUGCAUUUCACAUGGAUGUCCCGGCUUGAUUUCCAGCGCGUUAGCAUCUUUCUGCUAUUUUGCUGGUCCGUGUUGAGAGUUUUCUCUUAUCCCAAUGCCUGACUCUGUAAUAUUCAGCACAGAGGAAAUACAUACAGUUCCCAGCCUGUGAGGACACGUGGCUUUCUCCACUUCUGAAUGUGACCACACUUGGGAGUGCUCACUGUGUCACCGCCGCUUCCCUGACACCCCUACUCAGUUGAGUUUUAGCAGUGACACUAUGUGGAUUAGUACGUGGAUAUUAGCGGCACAAGAGGAACGGCCGUCUCCACGAGCUACAGAGUCUGUGAUUAUGAACCAGCAGAAAGACAGUGGAGGCGACAGGAGAUCUCCUACCUACUGCAUGAGCUUGUGGGCCCUUUACUUUACCUUUUUCUAUUUUAUUUUUGGAGCAUAGCACUCAUGGGCCACUAACGGUGUGUUUCUAUGCAGCAUCGGAGACGGAUGGUUAGUGACGCUUCCUGCCAGAGCUGUGAGUGGGUCAUUUCUUAGUACAGUCGCCAGUAUCUUUAAGAAGCCUUCUCUUCUUUGGAGUCUUAAGUAUCGGAACAUUGGAAAGGGUGUGUCAGGGACCCGCAGUUACAAGCCUUCUUAGACCGGAGGCUCCAGUUCUUUCCACUGACUCAGCCCUGAGAAGGACCCUCAAGGGCUUGGCUAUUGCACUUUCCGAAAGGUCUUUAGCGCCGCACCCUGGAGCUGGGGCCCCGAGGGCAGCUUUGGGGUUAUUAGUCUCCACGUGGAAACGUAUUAAUAAUAUGAUUAAUAGCUAAUGCAAAUGUCAAACAGCAGACAUUAAUAUAACAACAUAUUAAGUUAGGCACUAUAACCAAGGGGCUGAGAACAUGCGUUUUGGACCAGGAUCUGAGGAUCAGUCACUUACUGGCUUUUUGAACGGAACUCAGGUAAGCCAUUCAACAUCUCAGCUUCUAACCUGUAAAAUGGGGCUCUCACGGGAACAAAGUGAUGAAGGCAAGUAAAGUGGUCAGAGUGGGGCUGGCACACGGAUGUCCCAGGACAAGGUGUCAUGUUAUUAUUGUUCACGUUAUCAUUGGAAACACUCUUCUAGUCCCCUAAUGCAGUUUUCUGGAAUAAGGAGAUACUGGUGCUGCUCCUCCUGUGGCUGGCAGUAACAGACGCCGCUCGUGAGGUGGUUGUACACAGGCCGUGCUUCCGUUUCCCAGGGGAGUAAGAGGUCACUGAGAUUCCCAGACAACUGUGGAGUGAAGGUUGUUAAACUGACUUGAACGGGGGACCAUCCGAGUGUAGAAGCCUGCUGUGGUUCAGCCAGAACUCAGGUGACUCAGGAAUUCUUCCUCAGGCCUCUCUCGCUCAUCGUCUUGGGAAACGGAGUUUGCAUCUCAAGACAGGAGCAUACUUGCUUGGAAAAAGUUUUAUCAGAAAAUGUGUGAUUUCCACAGUGUGGAAUAGCUAUUGUCAAUCGGAUGUUCUUUCAUAGAUUCCCUGGCUUCUGAGAAGGCGUCUUAGCCACGUGGCCCUUGUGUUUCACCAGCUGAGUUGAUGGGGGAAGUUAAUCGAACGCAUUGGGAGAAAUUCUUUGUCUCAAAACCCAAACACAUUGUCUUGGAGGAAAGAGUUUGUGAGAUGUUCUGUAACUGCCUCGCUCUCUUCCUAGGCCCCUGCAUAUUGAUCUAAAAAGUAAUAGCUGACAUAACGAUGAUGACAACACAGCAAUAAGUACAUCUUAAUACCAGCUGACCUUUGUUACGUGUAUGACAUGUGUCGGGUGCUGUUCUCAAUGUUUUUCACAGAUGACACAAUUUAAUCCUCAUAACAGCCCAUGAGGCGGGAACUAGCAUUUGUCCCACUUCACAGAUGGACAGAUAAAUCGAUUUGCCCUAGGUCACACUGCUGGGAAGCUGCUGAGGAGGGAUAAACGCAGGUGUUUUCAUUCUGGAAUGUGUGUUUUCAAACUAAGCUCUCCCACUUUCUUACCCCACCUCCACUUACAUUCGUGCUCAUACCUCUAACUGUCAACCACGGGAAGUCGCCGUGGAUUGGGGUGAGGAGCCACACUCAGUCUCCCCUGUUGGAGAAGAGAAGCUCAAGAAGAGGCCGUAAGGACUUUGGUGGAAGGUGUUUAUUUGGAGCCCGAGUUUCUCAGGGUUGGCGAUAGUGGUCUCUUACGUGCUUCUCACACUUUACAACUUUCAGAGAAACUUUUCUACCUGCUGAUUUAUUUGACCCUCAAAACAGCCCCAUGAACCAUGUGAGGAUGACGUUAUUAUUUCAAAGAUGAUGAAGCCAACAACCUCAGAGGUCAAGGGGCUUUCUAAAGGCCACACAGAUGAUUAGAGACGAUUUGGGAUUAUCUACAAUAAUGAUAGUAAUAAUAAACCAUUGCUAAAUAUUUACCACACGCCAAGCACCAUGCUAAUUAAGCACAUCAAUGACAUUAACUGGUUUCGCUUCCAACAGCCAAAUAUAUGAGAUCACGUGGCUGAGGCACAGUUCUGGCACACGACGAGCCAGGACACAACACAGGUGGGGCUCUCAGCUCUUAAUUUCAGUCUCUACUUCUCUCACUAGGGAGAAAUGAAUUUUCUUUAAAGGAGACACAAGAGAGACUUUGUCCACUUUUAAACAACUUUCGGUAUGUGGAAAAUAUUAAUUAUGAUAAUAGUAAUUAACACUGUCUCACUGUUCACUGUGGCAGGCACUACACCAUCCAUUUGCUCAUUGAAUUAAUAAGCUUUGAAUUAAUUGAAUUAAUAACUUAUCACCUACUAUGUGCCAGGCACUGUUCUGAGUGCAAGAAAACACUAUGAGCAAAACAUUAUCUUUCAUGGAGCUUAUGGUCUUUUAAGAAAGUAAUCAAAUACUCACAUCAUUUAUAGACAGUGCUAAGUGCCCCAGGAGAGUCUGGAGUGUAGGGUCUCUGUCACAGUCUGGGGACAGGGGAGGCAUCUGGAUAAAGUCACGUUUGUACUGAGAACGUAGGGUGGAAAUGUCAGCUACAAGAGAAUGUGUCUUAGGGGAAGGAGAAGAAUGUGUGUAGAAUCUGAGAUUUUGGGGAUUUUGAGAAACUGAAAGGUUAAUUGACUGGCUGGAGUAUGUUUAUGGAGAAGAAGAGCGGUGCCAGACAGGCUUGGAGAGGCAAAACCAUGCCGACUUAGCUAAGGAUUUUCUAUCUAAAGAGAAAGGGUAAUCCAUCGAGAUGAGAGGUUACUUGUGUUUGAAAAGAUCCCUCAGCCUUAUGUGUGAAGCACAAAUUGAAGGGGACAACUGAGACCAGGCAGGAGGCUGCCGUGGCGACACGGGUUAGACAAGAUGGUAGCUUGGGCUGGGUAGGGUAAGAUGGAGAAAAGUGGAUGGAUGUAGGAAUUAUUUAGGAGGUAAUCUCAACAGGAUUUGUUUUGCAUUAGAUACAUGGAGCAAGCAAGAGGAAGGAUUCUGGCUUGUGCAGCAUGCACUGCUCCAUUUAAUCCUCACAAUAGCACCAUGAUGAUUGUACCUCCAAGUUCCAGGAAACAGAUUCCGAACGUUUCUAGCCACUGUCCAUGGUCAUGCAGCUCAUCCACGGCAGAGCCGGGAUUCACCCAGGUCCGCCCGGUGAAUCUGAAUCUGGGUUUCGUCUGCUAUGUUACACUGGGAAUGGGAAGAAACUCCAUGGCCCGUUGUAGGGAGGGGGUGUUAGAAGCCACAGGAAGUGCGGAGUCGAGUGAAGCAAGUGGGCACCACGCAACUCUGAAAAUACGCGUGGCCUCGAAGCCCAAGCUCUCGCGACGUCCAUGAGAGUUUGCAGCUGGUGCCACCGUGACUUUUACGAGACUGAAGAGCACAAGCCAGUAUCUUCACUGAGUAUGACUUCGUUAAAUGUCAUUGUUAUAAAUAAAUAACGCAUGUUCAUUGUAGAAAAAUGAAAAAAUACAGAAAAGCAGAAAGGAAAACAAUGAAAAUCUCCUGUAAUCCUCAGAGGGGGGAAAACAUUCGCUUGCUUUUAAUUCAACAAUGCCACGCACUGGGUUAACCACCACAGGUAUUCAGUGGAAGGAAACCAGAGACCCAUAGACCCAGGCUUUGUGAGGAUUUUGACUUGAGGAAAUUUAGCCUCUGGGGCUCUAGCUCCCUCCUUGUACAUGGAGAGAAACUCUGUCCUCAUUUAAUGACCAGCCUUGUUUGAGCCUGACUCAGUGUGUCAGUGCUGGGCACAGCCUCAGAGUGUCCCACACCACUGGCUCACUCUGCCCGUCCACUUGGUUCCUCAGGGGGGAGGGGAGAUACUGAUGUCGCUCUCACAGGGAUGCGCAAGGACCAGCUCCCACGUGUGGAGAGCACCUGGGGGGCUCAAGAGCGAAGACACGGUGGCCCCACACCUACACACACACAUGCACACGCACGUAUGUACGCACAUACAUGCACGCACGCACAUACACAUGGUCGGCGGCAGUUUGCUGAAUGACCUCCUGUCGUCUGGAAGCCCCCACUCAGGGGAAGCAGGUCCUGGCAGGCCUACCAGCCCUGUUGCUCUCGCUCCCCCGACUUCUCCUCCUGGCGAGCUGCACAAAACCAUUGCUUUUGGGUACUUGCCACAGGCUGGCCCUUAGAGACAGGAGGAAUCCUAAGACCCAGACUUUAUUCUUAAGGAGCAAGCAACGUGGUGGGGCCAGAUGGUAAACAGAAAACUCCAGCACAAUUUAAUCAGUGCUGUUGUAACUGAGCCAUGGGCUGCGGGCCGGAGGGUCGGGAAGUGACUCCUUUGCCUCAGGGAAGGCCUGGGCCCAUGGGAGGGCAGAGUCUGCUGGUUUGCUGGGCGGGGAAUGUGCAGGGCCUGUGUCUUGGUGAGGAGCCCUCUUCUGGAACCCACAGCCCGUGAGACCUUGGGGAUGCCACGGCCACCUUUGACAUCCGAGGCAGAGCAGAGGGAACGGGGUGGGCAGGCGGGUGCAGGAAGGAGGUCUCUGCAGCCACCACGCCCCUUCCCUGCCCCUCUCCACAUCCUCCAAUCCCCCAGCUCCGGCUCUGCUGAGGCCCGAGUCAGACACUGACAAGUCCUCUGCCGCCUGCUCCCACCCACGGAAGCUCCCGGAGAGCGAGCUUGGUCGAACUGCCAACCCUGCAGACUCGGCAGCAUGUUCACGAAACCCAGAUCCCUCUCCGGGCUGGUUGUUUUUAAGCUUCUUGGGUUUUGUGGAAUGAAAGACUUUGAUGCUGGAAUCCCUCUCUAUCUUCUGAUGGGCAUGUGCUCGCAGCCCCGGGGCCCUGGUGCGGAUGCAGCAUGGUGGAGAGGGGGCUCGCUCUCCAGUUCCUCAUGGGCCCGCUGUUCCCCACCAGGCUUACGGCGUCCUUGUCGCCUCACCUCAGCCCACCUGGCUGGUGUGAGGAUGUUUGUGCAGGUGGCCCCUGUGUUUAGCUUUGUCAUUUCUUGACUUUUCAGUUGAGAAAUUAUCUCAGCCCCCCCCAUAGUAAUUUCGCCUCAAUUCUUUGCAUUUUUGCAAAGUUCUGCGGCUCUGCUAACAAUGCUGUGCACACCUGGACCCCAGCGCUGGGCAGUGUCCACAUGUGUCCAGGACUCCCUCCUGUCCACCAGGAAGGAGGCCAGACCACAGCUCCCAUUACAGCGCUGUUUCUCACUUUCUUACAGAAAUGAGAAUUGACGUUGCUGUUUUUCUUAAAACGCAACAAAACAAUCUAUGAUGAUUUUAACUGAUUCUUAAAUGAAUUGAUGAAUCAGCUCUUUGGCCCACAAUGUCGAUCUUCUCAACAUUUGAAGAGAGCCCGCCCAGCCAGCUGCUAAGGCACUCCAUCAGCGGGACUACAACUGCCCACCUGUGGGGGAGGGGGCGGACGAGGAGUUUUGGGGCUGGGGGAGGCAGAUAGCACCAUCCUGGGGACAGAGUUCUCACGCCCUCGAUGGGGACAGGCUUUCUCUGCAUCUGGGUCACAUGGGAGAUGGUGCCCACGACGUGGUGUCUGCUGUGGGGAGAAGGGUGGGCCACAUGACUGAAUGUCCCAUUCAGCCAUCGAGCCCAGCCCUGCCCGUGAGCCCCACCAGCACUGCAGCAUUGUGAGCGCUGCUCUGCCCAGGGUUGUGCAUGUCCACCUCUGACCUGCUCCUUAUUCCCCAUUGUCAUCCCUCUCAAACAGUCAGCAGGGCGAGAGCGUGUGCGAAUUAAGGGUCACAAAAGGAACUUGGGUUUUGAGGAGGAAGAAGCCUGUUCAACAUGUGGCAGCUCUAAAGAGCGCUGACGGAGACACACUGUUUACAGGCAGCAGCUGUCCGGAAAAUAGAUGUUUACUUGCAGUGAGGGUAGUAAGAUUUCUGCCAUUAGGCAAAGUAGAUUCUGCACCGUGUCUUCUCCUACAGAAAACCAUGUUGGAAUAAACCUUUAAUUAGCAGUGCUUGUGGCAAUGAAAAAUAUUAAACAGAAUCCUGGUCUCUAUUGGCAUUUCUGCUUAUUAAAAGAGAGACAGGAAGGGAGAAGCACUGGGAACCUGCCUUUGGAAGGAUGGCCUUUUAAAAUAGUAUGUUCCAUUUAAAGCUACAAGUGCAAUGUUUGCUAAAUUGACUAAAUUACUGCAGAAAAAAAUUUCCCUACUAUUCACAAGAACUUAAACCCACUGAGUUUGCCUGAACCGUCCAUCUUCUGAUGAAAAGGUACAUUUUAAUACAAUCAGGGGCAUCCUUUGCAUCAGACUGGCUCGCGUCUCUCAUGAGUUUCUUUAGUGGGAGAUGAGACUAAAUGUUUCUGUUGAAUAAUAGGAGGUCUUUCUGCACAACUCUUCCAGGCCACGGACUGGGCACCACGAGAGCAGUGGUGUCCUAUCUUGCUUUGGACACAUAGUAAUUUUUCUGCCUCUAUAUUUUUAGCAAACAGACUCGUGCCCCACAAUACCAUCAUCGAGUACAUAGUCCUAAUCCUGUAAAGUUCUGAAUGCUUUCCCUUCUUGUGCUGAAAGAGUCAAUUCAUUUAUAACCAGUUUGGUCCAAGACGAAGCCAGUGGACCCUGUGUCUGAGUGGCUCAUUCUAGGCGUGUGCACACCCUUGAGCAGUGUGCAACCUUCUCCAAGUCUUGGUUCCUUUGUAUGUAAAGUGGGGCAAUAAUACUUAGUUCAUAGGUUUAUGGCAAAGAUUAAAUGAAAAACAGAACGUAAAGCAGGUAGGACAGACUUCAGCAGGUGGUCUGUGCUUAAUCAACGGUAGCUGUUAGGAUGAGAGAUUGUGUCAGGGACAGACAGGUGGGCUUCCCAGAGCCCCUGAAGCUGAAGCGAUGGUGUCUGGAAGCAGCAGCAGCUGAUUUUCUGCCCCCGGCCCUUAGUGGGGGGCUCAAUACCUAUUUGGUGAAUAGAUGGACUGCCAGACAGGCUCCUGAACGUUACCCCCCAGAUCUACCAGUCAAACCCACCCACUGGUUUUGCCAGAUCAUGAACUCCACUUUUCUUCAUCCUCUGUUUUCUCAGUGGACCCACUAUUUCGUGAGAAGCAGGAAGAACUGCCAUCUGUUAUGCUCAGCUCUCUUAAGCCAAACCAACAACACUUAUUGAGGCCAAGACAGGUGAGCCGACGAGGUCAGGGGAAGUCAUUCUCAGCGUGGUUUCUAGAACACGGCUCUGCAAAUAUAUGUGACGUGGCAAAAUCUAGGACAGGGGUUUGUUUUUAUUAUUUAUUUUCGGUCUUAAAUGGUGCAAUGGCUUAACGUGAAUCCUUGCCCCCAUGUCCUGGUUUGCUGUUUCACUCCCUGACAAACGCUCAUUUCACACUGAGUGCUCACCUGGAGCACUGAGACCUGCCGUCAUGCCAGCAGGAGCCCUUUCUCCGUGGUGCCAAGGGGAGCUCUGGCGACUUUGGAAGCCCUUAGAUCAACCCCUCCCUCCUUACGGGACACCCUUGCUGCUCACUCAGUGGCGUGGGGGUUGGAAUUCUGAACAGACUGAGGAGAGACGGACCGUGCAAGAGCUCCUGCCAUCUAUUUUUCAGUCCCAAAGUCGUGUAUCUUGCUUUCUCCCUUUCAGUAUUUCCUUAUUUUCUUGGUUUCACAGAACUGUUUUAUAAGAAAGUUUCAAAAAUAUCCUGGGAUUACCAUCUCUGAAUGAACUUUCGUGCCCGUAGUCUAAGCCCCUUCGGUUUAGAACCGCCCCACCCCAAAGCCUCUGCUUUUCACUACCAGCUGCUGGUUCUUUUCAUGCUCAUGAAAGCACACACAGACACACAGAGACACCCGUGUGCACGUGUCCACACGCACACUCCGCAUAGAUGGAAACAUCCAGAAGGAACGAUGCAUUGUCCAAGCUGUCCCGUUGAGUUUGUAAUCCAGCAUGAGUUACCGAGUGCUGAUAAGCAGGGGAAGUUCAACCAGACAGUUUAAUCCUCCAAUUUCCUGUCUUCUAAUCAGCCCCUGAUUCUUUUGGUUUUAAAUUAGAAACAUUCCUGACAAUAUUCAGGACAGGUGAAGGAAAAUCAACUGGAAAACAAGGACAAAGCAUUUAUUUUACUGUCUAAAGUUCACAGGAGAAAUAUGAGCGUAAUAACAGGAAAUCAAGAUUUUUAAAAAGAUAGUAGCAGUACAUAGGCUGGCUUAAGUCACCAGUCACGUUUCUGAAUGAAGCACAUUUGGAUCAUAAUUUGAUUUAAAGAAAAAAAAAAGCAGAAACAGCUUAAUGCUUGUUCUUCUUUCUAAGGAUAGUAAACGGGACCAGAGGAGGUACUGUAAAAAGCCAACCUGAAAGAAAACGAGGCAGAUAAUUUCUUAACGUACGCGGGAGGAAAAAAGCCACUUCAGAUUUUGCUUGCCAUCGAUUAUUGUUAAUACUAUGAGAGAAUAAUGUUUGGAGGGUACAGAAAUCUUCGAAGUUAAUGCAUAUUCUUAGAAAUUAAUAUAGUCAUGCAUAUUUAUAAUAGUGGAUAAAAAUAAGACCAUUGUGCAUUUAAAAAUAGCUCAGGUAGAGUGUGCCAAUGCUUGAAAUAGAAUGUAUACAAAUACAUUUAUCAUGGACACUUCCUUUUGAAAACAUACUGGAUGCUGAGAACAUAAUAUUUAUUAUUUACUGAGUCUUUUUUUUCUUUUAUAGCCAUUGUAGCAAUUUCCAAGUUAUUUUAAUCAUUAUCACGAAAGAGCUAGUGCAAAUGCAUAAAAGCAGUCUCUGUUGGUGUGUUCCAAAGAACCCAGAGGACGGUCAUCAACAAAAGUUAUUCAGUGAGAAGUCCAGUCAACUGCUGAAUUUCAAGCCAUUUAACUUCAGGACUAAAGGGGAGAAAGAGGUAGAGAGAAUGCCUUGCAUUUGGUAUAUUUUAUUUUUUCAAACGGUGUGGGAUUAGGAACUGAGGAAAUACCUCUAUGAGAGCAGGGUACCAACGCAUCCUAAUUCUUUUUCUGAGGGUGAGCUAGUCCUUGGUCCUCGAGCCCAGAGCAGCAAUGUUGUGAUUCCCUGUGCUGGGGUCUCUGUGUCGGCUCGCCCAGCACGGAGAAUUUAUCUGCAGUGUUUUUCAGGGCGAUUAAACUCAGAUUAUUUAAAAAGUUGUGCAUUUACAGUCCAACUAUCCAGCGGAUUUUUUUCUAGUCACAUUUUCGACUGAAUAAUAUUUAGAUGAACUUAUUUGAGACACAGUUUAAGUUCCAAAGAGGUCAAAUUGGGUGACUUUCUUUCCCAUUUCUGGUCUCUUCUUCAGCAGGUGCUAUUUUAACCGUUUAGCAUUGGGUAAAUAGCUGUUUCGACAAAAAUAAUUUUAGUAAAGCAAAUUUUAUCCAGUUGCACCUGAAAUGUUUCAUGAUUUAAAGCAAGAUGCACGAACGCUUCUGCAGAAUGAACUGCAGGUACAACAAAGAAGUCACUUUUUUCUUUCUCAUGCCUCAUUGUAACGAGAUUUCUUCUAAUAAUAUGGGGGUAUGAGGGGGUAUCGAGAAUUAUCACCAAAUACGGAUAUUGCCGUUACUCUCAGAAGCAUCUUUGUGUUCUUUAUUACUCUGGCAUCACCUCUCUUUUCAGAAGGGUCCACAGUAGCACAGGAGGUGUUAAGUGGCCUUGAGUCCACAAGCAAGUGCCUUCUUCCAGGACCUGGCCCCGAGCUGACCAGCCGACACAUUUGUUGCCUUGCGUAACUGCAGUGACUUUAAAAUGCCCUAGCCUUUCUUCAGUUUACCAUUUAGAAAAAAAAGAGAAAAGACACGGAAAUUCUAUACGAAAUGUAAAAUAGCACAAACCACAAAAAAAAAAAAAAAAAAAAAGGGAAAGAAGAGAAACGCGGCAGCCUCUGUCUUUGCAUCUGCCCAGCUCUGAGGCGUCCCUCCCACCUGCCUCCCACGGCAGACAGCCCCGCUCCGUCCGUCAGCCUUCUCUGGGGCACAGAGGUGUGGACAACCUGCCUCCGAGGGCCACAACCUCACGGUUUCUGACUUUCCCCAGCAUCUCUGAAGUUAGAGGGGCCGCUUCUUGAGCCGCUGCCUUUCUGAGACGCACGGCACCCUGUGCACGCCCAUUAUUGAUGAACGAUCAGGGCAGGAGGGAAACUGGAGUCCAGAUUCCACUUUGUGAAGGACGGGAUACGCAGGAAGAUUUUACAGGAGAUGGCACAGUAGUUUUGAACAAAGAGAUGAGAAAUAUGAUUGGAUAAUCGUGUUUCAAAUCGGGAACAAUUAGGGGUAUUUAACUUUAUCAUUGUUCUCUAAGAGGCUGGGGGAAGCUGUCCUUUCCCUCGUAGCAAUGUCUUUUCACAGUGUGGCCCGUUGUUAAUAGCCUUAAAACAAGAUUAAAUAAAACACGUUAAAUAUUGCAAUUAUUGUGGGAAAUAAAAUUAUUUGGUGAGCAUAAUGAGGAGCAAUUCAAGCAUUUAACAUGAUCCAGGAAAUGCUACUCCAAACAAUUGCAUUUGCUUUAUGCAUUUUCCCCCUCUGAUUGCUGACAGAUGCCUUUUUGGAAACAAACAUCUAAAUGGUUUGCUUUCAGUCAGAAAAAAAAUAUAACAGAGAACGGCUACAUGUUUUGAAUUUAACUCUUGUCAUUUGAAUGCUUCUUUCCCUGCACGUGAAUGGAUCUUAACAGACUCUCAUCAGGAAACGAGCCCAUCACAGUUUGGACGUCCUCGCUUCCUUCGACCAUGUUUUACGAGGAGUGGGAAUCCCCGGGCCGUGGAGUCAGAUUAAGAAAAUGAACCCCAACAGAGAGAAUUUCCAGGAGUCACCCAGCAAGUUCGUGGCAGACAGGGCUCCACCCAGAGACCCCAAGGGCAGUGUCCACCGUGCCUCUGGCUUCACGGUGUGUGAAGAGCUGUGUCCUGAAUUCUGUGCUCAGCUGGAUUCAGAGGCACACGAGACGCUGCCAUUGUGUCCUCUGCCGACUGUGUCACACACCUGGCAGACACAAACAGGUUUUUAAAAACCGUUGGAAUCGGAAAUCUGUGUCGACUGGUGAUUGCUCUUCAAAGCUGCCCGUCCCUCCACAGUCCACCGCUGAACCUUCGUCUCUGUUGCCUCCUGUGGUUUGCUGCAUGGUUCCCAGGUCAGUCGUGAGAAGCUGGACGAGAACACAAGAACACGAAGCUGGGAAGCAGGAGACUCGGGCCCUGGCCGGGGCCACAACACCAGCUCCCUGCACGCUGGAGGGUGAGUUCCUUUCCUCCGGGGGCCUCGGGUUCUUUGUCUAAAAUGAGGAGAGUUUAGGUUAGAUUGGGGGUUUCCGGGCAUUGGGUUGAAAGAGAGCGGUCUCAGUGACUGUGUGCUGUCCGAAAUCUGGAUCCCGCCCUCCAACGCAAUUCGACACACAUGGUUAUUUUAUAGUUUCCUUCUUGAGUUUACUGGAAAAUUCUGUGUGAAGAAUGAUUCCAACAUUAAUUAAAGUUUCAAAGCCACUGGACUGGACAGUUUAGAUUGUCUACGUCUAGAUCAUUGACUGCUUCCAGAGUGUGGCUGCUGUCCCUCUCUUUUUUCAUUUUUAUUGUGGUAAAAACAUGCAACGUGAAGUCCACAUUCCCAGCAGUGCAUUAAGUGUACAGCAGAGUGUGGUUAACUCUCUGCACAUUGUUGCACAGCAGACCCCUAGGACUGCUUCAUCUUGCACGACGGAAUCUCUGUACCUAUUGAACAGCAACUCCUCAUUUUCCCUCUCCCGGCCCCUGGUGACCCCAUUCUACCUUCCGCUUCUAAGAAUUGGACUAUUGUAGAGACCUCAUGGGAGUGGAAUCACUCAGUGCUUGUCCUUUGUGACUGGCUUAUUUCUCUCAGCACAGUGUCCUCAAGGAUCGUCCAUGAAGCAUAUGGCAGAAUUUCCUUCCUCUUUAAGGCCGCGUACUAUUUCAUUGUAUGUGUCUAGCAUAUUUUCCUUAUCUGCUCGUCUUUGCUGGAUGUUUAGGCUGUUUCCACUUCUUGGCUAUUAUGAAAAAUGCUGCAAUGAACAUGGAA